UCUCACUGAGACUGGGAGGUGUUAGAGAUACGUAAUUGAAAACAAAAUACCCUCCCAACCAAGAAAACUUCUCCACAAAGGUAGAAGAGAAAGAAAACAGUUUUUAAAAUAUUAUUUAAUUUCCUGGGUACGUGUGCAGAACGUGCAGGUUUGUUACAUAGGUAUGCAGGUGUCUUGGUGCUUUGCUGUAUCUGAUCCUCCCAUCAUCUACACUAGCAUUAAACCAGAGUGAGAUGCACAUCUCAGGAAAUCAGCUCAGAAAUUGCAACGGCAGAAAAAAAAA